rnacentral:rRNA from 1 species
CCUACGGGAGGCAGCAGUGAGGAAUAUUGGUCAAUGGACGGAAGUCUGAACCAGCCAUGCAGCGUGCAGGAAGACGGCUCUAUGAGUUGUAAACUGCUUUUGUACAAGAGUAAACCUGAAUACGUGUAUUCCGCUGAAAGUACUGUACGAAUAAGGAUCGGCUAACUCCGUGCCAGCAGCCCCGGUAAUACGGAGGAUCCAAGCGUUAUCCGGAUUUAUUGGGUUUAAAGGGUGCGUAGGCGGAUUGAUAAGUUAGAGGUGAAAUUUCCGCGCUCACCUCGGGAACUGCCGAUAAUACUGUUGACCUAGAGAGUAGAUGCGGUAGGCGGAAUGUAUGGUGUAGCGGUGAAAUGCUUAGAUAUCAUACAGAACACCGAUUGCGAAGGCAGCUUACCAAUCUAUAUCUGACGUUGAGGCACGAAAGCGUGGGGAGCAAACAGGAUUAGAUACCCGAGUAGUC